rnacentral:RNase_P_RNA from 1 species
GCGAGCCCGGUAGCGCGCUCCGGAUCCUUGUGAUCUGAGGAAGCUCCGCGCAUCCACGAACGUGCCGUCGAGAGGCGGGAUCAGAGAUGGUCGUGCAGGGAGCAGAAACCGGAACCGCAGUGCUGAGCGAGGACAUCAGGACAACUCCUUUGCCGGAGGCGUCCUGUCGAGCCCUGACGCACUGGUGGUCUGAAACGGUCCUGCAACGCGGGAUGCAAGCCGAAAAGGCGCUCAGACAAAUGCGCGCUCCCCGGUUUGCUUCGGCAACGGGAAGACAGAACGCGGGCUAUGCCGGGCACGC